AACGACUGAAAAAACAUGGCGGCGUCGGAGAGGCGGUGCCACUACGAGGUUUUAGGUCUCCCCCGCGACUGCUCCGCCGACGAGAUUCGGUCGGCUUACAGGAAGCUCGCUCUCCAGCGCCACCCGGACAAGCUAGUCCAGUCCGGCUUGUCCCAGUCCGAAGCCACGGCCCAGUUCCAGGAGCUGGCACAUGCGUACGAGGUCCUCUCCGACCCCAAAGAGCGAGCUUGGUACGACUCUCACCGCUCCCAAAUCCUCUUCUCCGACCGUGGAUCGGCCGCCUCGGGCUCUGGCUCCGGCAUCCCUAAUCUUUUCCCCUUCUUCUCCACCACCGUCUUCUCCGGCUACUCCGACUCCGGCCGCGGAUUUUAUAAGGUAUAUUCCGAUGUCUUCGACAAAAUCUACGCCAAUGAGCUCAAUUUUGCUAGGAAAUUAGGGUUAGGGUUGGACACCGUGCGUGAAGCUCCAGCGAUGGGGAAUUUAGAGAGUCCGUACGUGCAGGUCACCGCGUUUUACAACUACUGGGCAGGAUUUUGUACGGUGAUGGAUUUUUGCUGGGAGGACAUGUAUGAUGUGUUGGCCGGUCCGAACCGGAAGUCGAGAAGGCUGAUGGAGGAGGAAAACAAGAAGGUGAGGAAGAAGGCGAAGAGAGAGUUCAACGAAACGGUGCGGGGAUUGGCAGAUUUUGUGAAGAAGAGGGACAAGAGGGUGAUGGAUAUGAUGCUGAAGAAGGAGGAGGAGAGGGUGAGGAAAAGCGAGGAGGAGAGAGAGAGGAAGAAGAAGUUGGAGAAGGAGAAAUUGGAGAGGGCUAUGGCGUAUGAGGAGCCGGAGUGGGCAAAAGUGGAGGAGGAGGAGGAAGGAGGCAAUGAGGUUGAGGAAUUGGAGGAGGACGAGGAGGAGGAGAGGAGGAGGAAGGAAUUGUAUUGUGUGGUGUGUGGGAAGAAGUUUAAGAGUGAGAAGCAGUGGAAGAAUCACGAGCAGUCGAAGAAGCAUCGUGAUAAAAUUGCAGAGUUUCGAGAGUCAGUUGCGGAUGAAGAGCUUGAAGUUGAUGAUGAAGACGUUUUGGAGGGAGAGGGUGAAGAAAGGGGUGACCUUGACGAUGUUGAUGAAUUAGGUCAGGAGAUUAGAGUGGGGUUGAAGAUUGGGGAGGAGGAAGAUGGGGUAGGAGGGAGUGAUCUGGAGGAUGAGUUGCGCGAAUUUGGUGGUGAAAAUGGGAGCGAAAAGGUUGACGAGGCAGUUGGGUUGGAUGGUGAGGAAGAUGAAGAUGAAGAUGAAGAUGAAAUGGGUGUUCUCAAAGCAAUGGUGACCGGGCGAAAGAGUAAGAAAAAGGUAUCCUUUAGGGUUGAACCUGAGGAUAUCUUGGUUAAUGAUAUUCGUGUGGAGAAUGAUGACGAUGACGCUGAGUUUAUGGAAUAUAAUAACCGGAAGAGCGCAAGAAGGAAAGGAGGAGCCAGGAAAGAGAGGAGUAAGAAGAAUGGUGGUGAAGCUAAUAAUGUUGAUAAAAGUGAAAACAACGGUGGUCAGAAUGAGGAGAGUAAUGAACAAGAUAAUUCUACUAUGAAGGAAUCCACAUCUCAUUCUGUUGUGGAAAAUGAGAGUAUUGAUAAAGGGGAUGAACUGUUGGCACAAAAGAAGAAGAGCUCAAGCAAAGCGGUCAAUAAGAAAGAGAAGGUGAAGAAAGAGGCAAACGACAAAUCAAAGAACUCAUCUAAAGGGAAGAAAGCUAAGGGAGCAUCGAAGAAUACUGGCAACGUAUGUGAUACAUGUGGAGAGGAGUUCGAAUCAAGAAACAAGUUACAUAUGCAUUUGGGUGACACUGGACAUGCGAAGCUGAAAUAUCGAUGAGGGAACAGUUGCUGAAUAUUAACCGGAUGUGAUUAAAUUGUCAAGCAUAGAAAGAGUCUUGCGACAUUGGUCGGCAGCGAUUCAUUCAUUUUGAUAAGUUACAGAAAUAAUCAAAAAUCUCUGCAGGAAGCAUUCCAUUCUUUUGGGUAAUCAGAUACAAGUACAACCACCCUCUUCUGUCAUAAAGGGUACAGCGGCUGGCUGGAUGCAGUGCGGAAAGGUGCACAGAGAAUGUUCAGCCCGUACGUUUAUAAAAGUGAAAUUUCUUGGAGAAAACGGAUGACGUCUACAUGGGGUGGCUUAUCGAAAACUUUUUCCCAGUUCAUCAAGUGUGUUGUGAGCUUGAUAUCGUGUAAUUUGGUAGUGUUCUAGAUAUUUUGAUUUAAUACGCAUACGUAUGCAGAGUGGAGAA